CCCAAGCCCGGGCUCUCGUCACUAAGCCAAGCUGCUUCUCUGCACUGACUCAUCUUUUGGUUUGUAUACAGAGUUGGCCCUCAGGUUACCAAGGGGAAAAGACCUUUACUCGACUACGAACAUUCCUCAUCAAGUCUGAAAUACGUUAAAGUCGGUACAAAUCGGUUGGCCACCAGAAAUCGGAGGGCCAGGCCCAAGAAGGGAACGAUGUCACGGCACGAUUUUCCCCCAUCCCCCCGCGCAAGAAAAUGAAAAGAGCCCGGAAAAGAAGUACCUUGGUCAAACGGCUUGGAAUGCUAUUAGGCAGAGAUGUGCUGUUACUCCUCGUUGCGGCAGCUGGAAGCAGGAGAGGAGGAGGCGGAAUGGAGGCAUGCGAAGGAUCUGACGGAGACUUAAUCACCGAGGCGCUGACCGAUGCCACUGCGGGAAGUUCCACUUGGUCUAGAAAAGGCAACGCAUUUAUCUUUAGUAUUUACGCCCAGGCAUGUCCUAUUGCGCGGUAAAAUAGAACAGAUGCAGA